GGUUAGUGCAGUGAAUAAGGCAGUAAGUAAACGAUGAGUUUUUACUCUGGUUUUGCCGAUGAGUCGUCAUUGACCUAGUGUGACUCUGCCGAUAUAGAUUAGGCGCACUAACC
rnacentral:ncRNA from 1 species